UACAGAGGUCCCAAGCGUUGUUCGGAUUCACUGGGCGUAAAGGGUGCGUAGGUGGCUUGGAAAGUUUGAUGUGAAAGCUCAGGGCUUAACCCUGAAAUGGCAUUGAAUACUGCCGGGCUGGAGGUUUGGAGGGGGGACUGGAAUUCUUGGUGUAGCAGUGAAAUGCGUAGAUAUCAAGAGGAACACCAGUGGCGAAGGCGAGUCCCUGGACAACACCUGACACUGAGGCACGAAAGCUAGGGGAGCAAACAGG
rnacentral:rRNA from 1 species